rnacentral:ncRNA from 7 species
UCGGACCAGGCUUCAUUCC